rnacentral:misc_RNA from 1 species
GUGAAUCAUCGAAUCUUUGAACGCAAAUUGCACUCUCCGGUUUUCCGGGAGAGUAUGCCUGUUUGGGGGUCAGCCUAAAAAAAAUCGACAUUGUUGCUGUUUUAUGGGGAUUUUGGUGGAGGUGGGGUUUUUUUAAUUUCGGUUUUAGGGGCUUAAAAAUUUUUUUUACGGUUCUUAGGAAGGUUCUUAGGUUUUUUUUUGUAGGUUAAGGUUAU